GUUUUAAUAGUUUAAAGAAAACAUUGGUCUUGUAAAUCAAAAAUUAAGGCCUGGACCUUUUAGAACU
rnacentral:tRNA from 1 species